UUUUCAGACUUCAUCCCCCCUGGAGCUAUUUUCUCAAAAGUUGCAUGAAACUUGAGAAGAUGGAGCACUAUAGGCGCCUUCAGCCAACAAUGCCGAAUGCGGCUCUACGUAGGAUUCUUGCAAAUAAGAUCUCAUUCCCACAUGAUAGGUCAUCCUUAUCUGCUUCAACAACAUAAUGCCAGAAUCACAGUAUCCCUCACAUCAGGUUCAACAGCUUUCGAAGUCCAUGUGUAAGUUCAUGUUAGUCAUUCUACGGAGACAUUUUAAUCUCUCCAAGCAAGUUUCUGCAUUUGGUCUUCUGGAAGCGUCAGUCUGCAAGCAAUCCCUUUGCAACUCUCGAACACCCGCUGACAAACCAUUUAUCCCGCUACUCCUGAUCAAAUGCCCAAUGCCCCAUAUGUCUACACUCGAGUCAUGACGACCUCUGCUCAUCUCAGGGGCGUGAGCUUCAACACACAGUCCGUGAGCGUGACCACAGGGAGUAGCAGCAGUCUCAUCAAAAUCAAUUAAAACCCAGUUGGUACCUGAAGUGUUUCUGAGAACAUUCCGCCAAGUUAUAUCUCGAUGCAUUAGAUUUUUUCCAUGCAACCAGACCAGUGCUUCUGCAACAUUGAUCAAUGCUUUCAAAAGUUCAUCUUCAGGUCUCGCCCGGCUUUUCACAAGACACCGGGGUAUCAUUCGGAAUCUACGAUCGGCUGCAUUAAUUUUCAGCACCUGCUCUGCAUUGGGGCAAUCCUUGAUGCUCUUAUAUAUUUGGUACACCUUCUCAAAGGUACGCUUAUCUCUGUAGAUCUUGUCAACACCAGUCCCCACGAAAACAGUUUUUCCGUCAGUGCGAUAAUCGUAAAAGUCAGACUCAACUCCCAGCACGAUUCCAGCUUCAGACAGGCGCAUUAGCAGCUUGCUGAUGUUGAAGCCUAUCAACGAUGCCAGCAACCUGUCCUCUACAACAGAUAGAUUGACAGUGAUCAAAUCCACCACCUCAGUCUUACAUCGCUUAGCAUCAUGCACUAGUGCACAGUAAGUAACGAUCGCUGCGUUGGCAUAAUAACACAGGAGAUAGGGCAGGUUUCCAUACGUCCAGAUCAGCUUCCUGACCAAUUCUUGUUUGGGAUCAUCUUCAGUAUCUGGCCCCUUCUCCUCGCCACGCCAAAGUGCGAGUCUGGAAACCAUCCCAAGUUUGUCUGGGCGCUUGUUCUCGGAUGAACUAAACCUUGAGGUGUCUCUAUCAAAGACAAGUGUUUCCAAAGAGAACAGGGAUAUUGGCUCAGUAACAAGACAAUCCCAAUAAGCAUGAUAAGAACUUUCUGUAGAGCCUGUAGCUGGAGGCCUUAACACAAUCCCAAGGUGGUCAUCCAAAUUCCAGCAAACGCCUCGUGCAGGGUCAUGACAAAUAAAGUUGUCUGCUUUACUCAGAUAGCUCUUCCACUGAAAGUAGCGUCGGUGAGAAACCGGAAAUGCCAUACGUGGCGGAUGCAGCAAGUAACCUUUCAGUUCAGUGACCUCCGGAAUCCUGACGUCCACUCUUGCUUCUACUAAUAACCUCCGGAAAGGGUCCAGUGCAUCCUGUUGAGCAGCUGCUUAAACCACAAAAUAAGUAAACAUACAUAGAGAUGCGAGCCUAAAUAAGCACAUAAAUUAGCAGGCCAGACUACCUAUGGUUUCGGAAACCUAUGUAGCCAUUGUGAAAGAGUAGUGUCCCCUCCAGAAACGAAAACCCCCAAGGUAUAGAGUUCCACACCGACCACCUCAACGCGUCCAGUAACCACAGGGAAGAAGAAAGGGUGGUGGCUUGGUAUAUAUAGCUGGAACAGCAUUAAGGCACAGCUACCGAGACGUAACGUGGCAGCAAGAGAAAGGCCGAAGUCAGGUGAGUUGGGGGAGUGUGUUAAAUACCAGCCAUCAGUAACCCUUUAUUGGUUAAUAAUCGGCUGAGGUUAAGUACCAUGAGUUCAAUCAGAGGGAGGGAGGGAGCGUGGCUGCAUAAAGAAAACCUUCACCAGUUACCCAUAAGUUCGAGAACUAAUUAAUAGGUGCCAUGCAGACACGUCUACAACCCUUAAUAGGUUAACCUGGAGGAAAAAAUUGGAACGUACUUGUUUACAAAAAGCAUAAAUCAACGGCUUUCUCACCUACGAAAAAACAAUCAGACCUUCAGGCGCAAAGUAUGAACAGUGCAACGAAGCCAAUUCAACAAUGGUGCGAGACCAUGAACUAAACCCUUGCCCAAAAAUAUGAACUGGACGAGAUACUAAUAGGAACCCUAGCCAAAGGGAAGAAGUGGAUAAUCAAGUGGAUAAUGCAAUAUGUGUCAGGCCAAGUGAUUUCACCUGAAGUAUCAGCGUUGAGCAGCAGCAGUUCCUUUUCCCGCAGUUGCUCCUUCUCUUUCCGCAGUUGCUCCUCCUUUUUCCUCAGUUGCUCCUCCUUUUUCCGCCAGUAAGCGACAUCGGCCUCUGUGACAGCCUUCGUCAGUUGUUCUUCCACAGCAUCGAUCUGUUGCUCUACUUUCCUGAUCUCUUGCUUCACCUCUUCAAAUUCGGCAUCCAUUGUCUUGAAAAGCGCAUGACCCUUUCAGCACGCCUAUGCUGCCUACGUGACCACCUCCUGUAACGUGCAACCUCAGCAGCAAUUCAUUAGAACGCUGUCACACGCAAACGCGAGCAGUGCUCGAAAUGCAUACAAAACUCCGCUCAGCCGAAACAAACCCCGAUAGAGACAACAAACAGAAAGAGUAAAAUCAGCUGCCAAACCACAAUCAAAGCUCAUGGCGCGCACGACAGCCACUUCUAAACUCUCCCGAAUCAUGCCUCACAACUAAUAAUCCAACAACAUAAGUAAUCACCCUGUCAUUCACCAUAAAGACUCGAAAUUUACCGCAGAAACACGAAACACGGAGGGGCGGCUGACCCCGGCCAAGAAAUCAACGACACCCGGAAAAGCAAACCGGCGCUGGAAUUACAAGUGGAAAAGAAACUGGACAACAAUACGAUACCUGUGGAUGACUGAAGAGCUCAACGGAGACAGAAUAACUUACCGGUAGGCGCAAGGCAAGGGUGGUAAGAGAACAGAAGAGAGCGCUCAAGCUGAGGUCAAGCGAUGGAACUGCCCGUCGUGAGAAAGGUUCCCUACCUCUGCCAGGGUCAUUCUUGUCAAUCACGCCCAUCAACGAAGCGACCUAACGAAACGAAACAGCAGACUUGGAAGGAGCAAAAUAAACACUAAACACUAGCGCAUGGAAAAACGGAAACCCUAGCACAAGCAAGAAGAGAAAACCCUAGCCAUCCGAGAGCACGUAAAAGGAGCUGUCGAAAGAAACAGCUCGAUACUUACGAAUCCAGUUAUUCACUCACAGUCACGGAUUCAUAAUAUCUGGCAAAAUUCAGGUGCUGAAGACCAGGACAUAGUAAGUAGUAAAACGCUCUUUUCAUUCUAAUUCUUGUCGAAAUUCACAAUUCUAACGAAUGCUCCUCUCGGGCCAAGCUGAAUACGUACAUGAUGUUCUAGGAACUCAAAUAGCUCACGCAAUACUUGGAAAAGAAACACUGCUACAACGAAUUGAUAUUUGUUACUAGCGUUGCAGAAGCUCAAUUCCAACUGCAUCAGACUCAUAUAAUUCUUACUAAUGGUUACAUGCUCGUGCAAACAAGGGUCGCGAAGCAAAUCGCUGAAAAAACUUCAUGGAAACUCUGCAGAAUCGGCAACACGAAUUACUACCAGCACCUAGCGAGUUCAAACAAUUUCACACUCUCUUUCAGUCCUGAUUCAUCGCAGUACAACCUCACCGUAAUCAAAUGACAAAAAAAUCACAAAUCAAGACACACAUAACGAACGGUCUUCAAUCAACGAUUACAAAAUCUCACAACCUCUCUACAACAGCGUCAUCUCUGGUAGAGCAAACUUGUGCAAGCUCUCUUCCACAACACUGCUUCCCUUCCACUUAAUAUUAACGCAAAAUCCUAAGCAUGAAAAGACUUCUCCUCAGCAUAGCCGCACACAUAUUACCUCUCUAUAAUCCAAUUCAAAGCAGCAAGUCACCUCAUAAACGAACUAGAACUUCACUUACCACAUCGUACGUUGGAUUCAAGAAACACACUCAAAGAGGGGACCAAGAGACUCCGAAGUGCUAAAAAGCCCCAAAAAAGAGCAUUCAGGAGAGAUCCUUGAGCUUCGAUUUUAAUGGCUUCAAGGCAGAGAAAAUUCCAGUCAACAUUCCCUCAAUCCUACGAGCAUGCUCGUAUGAUGCAAUGCAUCAUACGCGCAGUGAGCACAAAACGCAAUGCUAUCUCUCUCACUCAACAGGAACACGAGUGGAAUAGUUUAAUAUCUAGGUGAUACUCCUUUGAUAUUGAUGUGUUAUUGUGCCGAUACUCGGGCUAAUAGAGUGGACAGGGGUAUAUACGACGACAGGCUUCCUGGAGGUUUUGAUGGUUGGAAGAAGGCGCAUGGCGAUCGGAGCAGAGAUCAGAGGGGUGAUAGCAGCCGUGGAUGAUGAGUAGGGGCGUUGGUAGCCGUUCUAUAGCGCGCUGGAGUGUAUGGGGUCCGCGGAGGCGAUGGAAUUCUCUUGCAGCCACUGUCAUUCAUCAUGAUGAAUCGCACAAAUCUCGUUCACACAGCAUCAUUGUUUGAAUGGAUGAUGCUGUGUAAACAUUGUGGUCUACCACGACCCUCAUUUCCAUCUUCCAUAUCACAAGUGGUUUCUAAUUUUAUGUGUUGCUGGAUGUCAUAUGACAAGUACAAAGGAGGUAGGAGAGUGCUAAGAUGUGAAUGAUGAGCGAUGAGCAUUGAGCAAUAAGUAGUAACAUGUGACUAGUGAGCAGUUGUUUGUUGUUGUUGUAGCUUUGGAUGUUUGGAGGCCAAUGGCCAUCAAUUUCUACAAGAAUUUUUAUUUUUUGGAUGAAUUUCGGAAGCAAAUUCUAUUUCAAUAGAAAAUGGUUUAGAAUACCAUAGAAAAGUUUAUACAAGAAUAUGUUAGUGUUAAGGAUAUAUAGUAAUAGAAAAAAAAAAUUCAUAUGGCAAAUCCACAUGUAAAAUCAAAAAGUAUGUAAUGGCUCUAGAAGUCUUACAUCUAUACUCAAGCGAUUGUUCUUUGCGACACAAUAGAUAGGAAUGUUAUUUUCAACAUCAAUGACAACAUUCUCCAAUGAAGGAGCAACCACCAUAGGUGUUGUAUAUUGAAGAGGUAUAAACACAACUUCAAAGAUGAGAUGGUCCUUCUCAAAGGCAACUAGGCGGCAACCAAAACAACAGCAAGAAUAAAUAGAUAUCUUUAGGAUUUAGUAAAAAAAAUUUAGAAUAAAUUUAAAAUAAAAAAUUAAAAGAAAAAAAAAUACAAAAAAGUGAAGAUUUAGAAGUAUAUGUAGAGAUAAUGGUUCCAACAAUAAUAGCACACGACUUGAUAAUGGCCUCUAGAGGAAUUUACAUAAAAAUAAGGUCCUUCUCCUGACUUCUUUUCUAUGGCACAACUUUGUUCAUAACUUGUGUCUCCUUCGCUAUGAAGUUGAAUCAGAUAUCAUCACCCUCAAUAUGAUAUAUAUAUCAUUGGAUAAUUCAUGGUCUUCUUUGAAAGUAAACUAUAGAGAUGGUUCCAUCUUAUGAAGAAGCAAAAAGAUGUGGAAGUGGUAUGUUUGAAGGAGAUAGUAAUGUUAGAAGUAAAAACAACAAAAAGAGUUUAAAUCCAUGGCUAAUUUCAAAAAACAUAAUGAGACAAUAACAUUCAUCAAUGAAGCCAACUAAUCUUUGAAAAUCCAAAACUCGUAUGUUAAAGCAUACAUUUGCACAUCUAUCCAAAUGGCUUGUGAUUCAAGCAUGAAAAAGAAUAUAGGUGCAUUAUAGAAGAAUGCAUAAGCAACUUCAAAAAAGGCCUCCAUGUAAGCCUUAACAUAUCGAUUCUACUUUGAAAUGGUAUAGGAUUAAGAGGAGAUGUUCAGGACUCGCAUUUUUUUUUGGUAGGUCUACAACAAGGAGGUGAAUCCACUAUAGAGGCAUAAUGCAAAAUACAUUUCUAUUCGUUUAUUUGUUCUAACUUGUCAAUACAAAAAAAAAUAAUAAAUAAUAAAAAUAUUAUAAUAUAAUAUAUAUUAUGUAGAAAAUUGCUAAAAAAGAGAAAUAUGUCUUGUUCAUAAAAUUAUACAUUUCAACCAUAAGGGAGUAUAUAAGCCCAACUUCCAUGAACUUGAAUAUAAAAAUGUUCUUAAUCAAAACACUUAUUAGAGUAGCUAUAGAGAAGGAGCUCACACCAACUUGCAAGGUUUAUUUUUUUGCCUAAAUUUGGACUUGAGAAGCUUGCAUAAUUGAGGUACACUGAGUAGAAAAAAUUUCCAUUGCCAUCUUUAUGAUUUAUACUACUAUAAAUGCUAUGUUAGUACUAAUAUGGGUGAUUGCCACUGAAGCACUUUUUUGAGUCUUCGAGGCUUUUGAAGCCUUCAAGGCCUUUAGAAUCUUUAGAGCCUUUAGAGCCUUCAGAUCAAAUAACAAUGCAUUCUACUUUCCAAUUUGAAUGGCUUCUUUUUCAAUAGUAAUCUCAAGAGCCUCCAAAAUAUCAUUAAUACCAUCUUCUAAGAUAAUCGCAGCUCCCUUGCCACUUAGCUAUAGCUUUUUUUUUUCCUCCUCUAUAAUGAAAUCUUUGAAAGGCAUUUCAAAUACCACAGUCCACUCUACAAAUGAGAAAGCAAUGACUUCAUCACUUUUACUAGGAUGUAGAUACAAAGUAGAGACCUUUGUUUAUUAAUGUAGAUAGAUACAUCAAUAAUACUUACAAAAACACAACAUUCUUAGAUACCAACUUUUUACACAAGUAUUUAUACAAGAAAAUGAAUGAAAAUUUGCUAAAAAAUACAUGAAGAAGAUGAAAAAAAAUAAAAAGUCAGAUAUUAACUUGAUGACCACCGUUUGAUGGUCAGACCACCAGUUGGUAUGUCCUCAAGAACGGGAGCUUUGAUAAAAGCACUAUUACUUUAGAAAAAUGAGAUGAAUGCAUAUUUUCAAAGUAUGAUCCUCCACUACUCAAUAUAAUCUCCAAUCUUAAAAUUUUAGAAUAUAAAAUUCUAAUGGAUGUAAUUGAAGUUGAAAAGCAUCUCUUCAAACUCUUGAACUAAUACAUGUUCCAACUACAAGGAUUGUAAAAUAAGUGCAUCAUUAAUCAAAUAGAAAAUAAGAAAAAUAAAAAUAAAAAGAAAGUGAGAAGACUAAUCUAGGCCCAAAAGUUAGUUUGAAUGAGCUAUUAGUCCAAAACUAUUUUUUUCAUAGGUCUAAUAAAGAAACACAAUGAUGAAGGGGCAAAGGUAGAAGAAUUCUACCACUAGAGUCACCUCACUUUGAAAUUAGAAUUCAUGAUAGUAAUUACAAUCUUGUGGAUUUCUUUGAGUCAUAUCAGUCUUUGUCACAAUAUUCCAAUAUUUUGAAAUUUGUACCAAUUUUUUUUUAAUAUUAUAAAGAAGAUAAUAAAGAAUAUUGACAUGAUGGCAUUGCAAAAAAAAUAAUUAAUGUGAGUUAUCAAAUUUACUCAUUAAUUAUUUUAGGAUAAAAAGAUGUAUUUAGAGUACUUUAAACCACAAUAUAUAGUGAGUAGUAUAGAAAUCUUUAGUCAAAUAGAAAAUUAGAAUGUUAGUUGUAAAAAUGGAGUCCUAGUAAGUCUUGGAGAUAAAUAUCUUAGUUGAUUUAAUAUUUUUACUUAUUAUUGAAUAUCAAGGAUUAUUUAUUAAGAUUAAUAUUUAUAUUGGCCUUAUAUCUAUAUGUAGUACUUAUAAAUAAAAUUAUAAAUAUCAGUUAAUAAUUAAAAAAUAACAUGAAAAAAAAAGCUCAUAUCUUUUUAGUUAGUUAUAUAAGAAAUAGGAUUUAUAGUUGAUUUAAAUUGAUUUUAAUAUUAUAAAAAAUAAUAAAGCUAGAAAAAUAUAGCUUUAAAUUUAUAUUUAUAUUAUAGAAAAUUUAUAGGAAUUUUUUUAAUUUAUUUAGAAUUUAUUUUUAAAAUUUAGACUUUGAUAAAAAUAAAUUUUACUACCAUGGGAUCCAUUAUGAAGAAAUGGAAUAAGUUUUGAAGGCCACACAAGGUUUCUAUGCUAAUUGGGUGUUUUUAAACACCAUGGUGGAGUCAAAAAUGCAAAAAUAUUGAUUUUAUUAGUAGAAAAUAGGAGGGCCAGCAGCUAGUAUAGUUCUUGUGAGAAGGUAGGUGCACAAGUUCCAUAUGGAUUGUAGCACCUUGAAGGUAGUUAGGAGGAUAAGACUAUGGCCUUACGGCUUCUCUUAGACACCCAUAUAUACUACUUAUGAGUCUUGGUGAAGUUCAAACUCUUGAUCUCUUAAUCAAGUUAUCCUUGAGGUAAAAAUUAUUUAUUUAAUUUUUUUUUGUUUAUCUUUUAUCUUUAACCUCUUAUAACUUAUUCAUAAUAAUUUGGAUUUACAUGUUUCUUAUACUAUUGAAAAGAUAAUAUAAUUAAAUUUCUAAAAAUAUAUAUAUAUAUUUUUUAUUUUUUUAUUUUUUAUCAAGUAAAAACUUAGUGAAUAGACUUUACUAUUGUUCUAGUAUACAAUUGCUUAAUUGCACUCGUUUCACUUGUUUUUGUGUUAUACUUCUUUUGUUCUUGCUACUUCCACUUUACACCACUAAUUACAAGCAACUCUUAAUUGAGGCCAUCUUAUAAUUUGGAUUGAGGGAUAGAAUUUAUCUUCACAUUUUGGUGCAUUUGCUAGGAGGUGGUGCUUCUAAUUGUGUGUGUAAAUGUGAAGUGAGUUGAUUUUAAUUGACCUUUUGUAUAGAUUAUUUGAGUGAGUAUUUCAAAUCUAUUUUCUAUCAUUGGUAAGUCUUUUAUCUUUCUUCAUUUUUUUUAUAAAAAUAUCUCUUUUAAUUAUAUAAUCAAAAGAUAUUUAAAAGAAAAAAAAAAAAGAAAAAAAAAAAAACCAUGGAUAGGUAGAGAGUGAUUUUCUCUCGGAUUUUCAUCAAUCAGUUUUUAUGUAAUUGUUAUUUCACUUUGGAACUUUGUAAAGUUGUGUAUCUUGGUGUUAUCUUUUUAAAAAGCUACUGCAUGUUUGAAUUGGACUAAAAUUGAAUUUUAAGUGAAUUUUUGAUUAAAAAAGGAUUCACUGCCUUGGCAAUUUUAUAUACUCCAUGUUUGAAAAGGCAUUUCUUAGUGCUUGUUGAAUAUUUUAAAUUGAAUUACUUUGGAGUAAAAAAAUCUGAAGGAUAAACUUGGAAUGGUGCAAUUUUUAUUGAAAUUACGUCAAUAUUCAAUUUUUGGUGAUUUUUGAAGUGAAGAGUAAGCUUGAAAGUUUUAAGGGUUCAUCAUCAAGGGUGGAGCUCAUCUUCAAGGAUCUUCACUAUCUUUCCUUGUAAUUUUUCUAAUUGAGGGUCUUUUUUAGUAAUAGGGAGAUUUAAUCACUCCAUCUAUUCUUGGUAUCAUUUCUUUUCAUCUUUGUAAAUUUUUAAUUGAAGGCUUUUCUCUAGUAAUAGGGAGAUUUAAUCACUCUCUCCACCCUUCAUAUCUCUUCUAUUCACAAGAAGUAGUAUAGUAGGAGCUUAACAAGAAAUUCAAGAAAAUUCUUCAUCAACAAGGAAAGAAAAGAUCAACAAGUUUAAGUCAUAAAUCUAAGGUGAAUAUACUUUUUAACAACUUUUAUUGAGUUUUAAUUUAUUUUGCUAAUAUAGAUUGUGGUUUAAGGAGAAAGAGCUCAAAAAGAAAGAAGAAUGACAUUAAUAGUUUGCAAGCAAGUAAGUCUUUGAAUCCUUGUCAAUUAUUUCUUUUUUUGAAAUUUUAGCAAAUUACUUGAGUAUAAGAAGCUGGAAUUAGAAUUUGGAGGGUAGAAUCUAAGAAAAAGAGGCAAGAAGAGGUUCCCUUUUAAACUUUUUUAUAGAUUUUUUCAAAUGGGAUCAAUAGAGCCUUAGGACCGUUUACUAUUCCAUUCUAAAAAUAGAUUUUCAAACCAUUUAGUUAGAAUCGAAUAGGAAAAAAAUCACAUUAGAAAUUCUUUAAAUUGUGUCAAGUUGGCUACAGAUAUGACGAGCUAAGUCCUUCUUCAAAGUGAUAUAAUUAUUUUACAAAGAACAAUUUUUAUCUAAUAAACAACUGUUGUUAAUUGUUGUAGUGGAUAAUUCUUUAAUAGACUUGUUGUAAAAAAGUAGAAAGAAAAAAGAAGAGUUUGAACUUUCUGCCAUCUUGAUAUGGAAUUCCUUUUGAUAAUUAAGAUUGCUUAGAAUUUUUCAAAAAAUAUGAUAUAAUGUCGGAAACCUGUCAAAAAAAGUAUCAAAAAUAAAUCUUCUUUGGUUGUUCUUCGGUUGUGCAUAAGUACAUUCCACUUUUUCAAUCUUAAGCAUGAGAGGUUUGUUUUAACGAAGCAAAUUCCUUGGUAAUGAUCUGAAUUGUGGAGUUUUGAGACUUCAUCUCCUUGGAGCUAUUUUCUCAAAAAUUACAUGAAACUUGAGAAGAUGGAGCACUAUAGGUGCCUUCAGCCAACAAUGUCGCAUGUAGCCCUACAUAAGAUUCUUGCAAAUAAGAUCUCAUACCCAUAUGAUAGGUCAUCCUUAUUUGCUUCAACAACAUAAUGCCUGAAUCACAAUAUUUCUCACAUCAGUAGCUUUCGAAGUCCAUGUGUAAAUUCAUGUUAGUCAUUCCAUGGAGACAUUUUAAUUUCUUCAAGCAAGUUUUUGCAUUUGGUCUUCUGGAAGUGUCAAUCUACAAGCAAUCCCUUUGCAACUCUCUAACACUAGUUCACAAAUCUUUUAUCCCGCUACUCCUAAUUGUACCAUUAUCAUAAGUUAAAAGAAAAUAACUUGAAGAGGAAUUGUAGAAUAAGUAGUUAUUUUUAGAAUAUAGAUACCUAGUAUAUAGUGUAAACAUGGAUAGAUAACUGUUGAAAGGGUGGUUCAGUAGAUAGAAUAGAUGAAUAGAUAGAAAAAGUAGUUAUCAUCGUAAUAUAGGAGUUGGUAUCUCGGGGUUGUAUGAGGAGGAUGGGAGAGAAGAUGAAAAUACCAGACUGUGAUAGUCAUGAGCCGGGGAUAAGCUUGGUGCUAUCUCUUCCUCUUAGUUUUCUUCUUUCUUUUGUAUUAGUGUUGAUUCUAGUGAAGAGAAUCAAUUUUAUGAAUCAAUGUUUGAUUUAGGAAGUUGUUUAUGGAAGUUUCUAGUCACUAUUUAUUGCAAGGUUGUAAGUUUAGUAGAGAGGAAUUAUAAUUGAAUGAAUUGUCUUUAUCAAAUUCAAUGGAUUGGAAGUUAUUCAUUCUAGGAUUUGGAUUAGGCUUGUAUGUUUGUGAAUUACAUAGGGUACUGAAAUUGAUGUCAUGGUUGUUAUCAUAUUGAUAUGAAAGAGUGGACAGUAGGAAGAAAAUGUAAGUAUUCUUCGGUAUUGUAAGCAUUCAGCAGUAGCGGUUAAUUGUGUGACCCUAACAAUUGGAGCUCAUAUACAUGGUCUUUUCCUGUGUUCGAAUUCCCCUAUAUGGAUUUAUUCUGGUAGCAUCCUUUCAGAAUAAGUAAAAUGAUAAUCACAUUUUGGCGCCGCUGCCGAAGAUUGACAACAUUAUUGGGUGUUAAGAAUUAUUUGCCAAAGCAGUAAAGGAGAUUAGGAAGCAAACUGAAUUAAAAUAAUGAAAGAGUAUGGUUAUUAAGAAUGAGAAUUUAACAACAAAGAGAAUAAAGCAAUCAAAGAAAAGAACAAAGAGAUCACAAGCAAUAAAUUUGUUACAUAGUGAGCGAGAUCACAAGUUGAAAAAAAAGCAUUGAUAAAGUUGGAUUAAGUCGUGGUUGUAUGCCUAUUGGCAUAUUUGAUCAUAUCUAGAAGGCAAUCGACCUCUAAUAUUUCAAAAGUAUACACCAUUAAAGAAAUCACCAAGAGCACUUGUGGGAAGAUCUGCUAAUAGUCCAGCAUACCUCUCGAAGCCGUUAACGGAAAGCAAGGAAGGUACAAAGGAAUUAGGUACUCCAUUGGGUAUUUUUCCAAUUAGAGAUAUGUCCGAUUCUAACAAGAUUGGUUUUGAAGAUUGGCAUGAAUCACUUGUCAAUAGAGACCAAUUCAGAGUAUAUCAAAAUCCAUCGUUUUUACCUCAUAUUCAACCAGUAAAAUUAUUUGGAGAUAAUAAUAGUCAAUCGAGAAGGCUUGGAUGGCUGAAAAAUACUUUUGUGGGAGAAAAUUUUUAUUUUAAUAAGAAAUUGAGCGAAACACCAACAUCUUUAAUGGCAUUCGGAGGUUCAACGAUUCAAAUCGCAGUACAAAUGGGUGCGGCAAGAGAUCACACAACUAGCGUGGCUCUAUUACCUACCUUUAGAGGUUUACCAGGAGCCAAUCCAGAUCAACAUUUAUAACAAUUCUUGACUGCAUGUGUAGCCAAUAAUGGAAGAACUGAAGAUAUUUGGUUAAGAUGGUUGCCAGCAACAUUAAAAGACACACCAUUUGAGUGGUAUAACUGCCAACUUGUCGAAUCAUUUAUCAAUUGGAAGGCAUUGAAAAAUACAUUUUUAGUCCAUUUUCGACCAAUUGGUUUUGAAGAACAUCUUAGAGAAAAAUUAAUGAACAGCAAAAUGGUACCAGGGGAAGCGGUACAGUCAUAUUAUGAUUGUAUAGUAGAUAUACUUCAAAAAUGGCCAAAUAACCAAAUACCGAAAUUAUUUGUGUUGUCCAUAUUGGUUAAUGGACUACAUCCACCAGAAUUGAAGAUGUUUGUAAAAUGGGCCCAAUCAGCCACCAUUGCAUCAUUUCUUGAGCGAACAAAAGUAUGGGAAGAAUGUCACUAUGACCAAAAUUUAACAGUUGAAGCCAUGAUGAUUCCACCUCAAGGAGGUUAUCAAAUGACAAAUUGGAAUGACGCAUCGGAUAGUUAUCAAGGAAGGAAUGAUUAUGGUACAAUUCCAUAAGGAAUAGUGGAUGCCGUUCUAUUGCAGGCUGUACCACCAUCAUUAUCACAUCCGUAUGUGCCUUAUUUUGCAUAUCAAAAAUCAAUACCUACGAAGGAAUUUCCAAAUGCAUUGGUAUUAAGGGAUUCCAAUGAAUCAUUGUUGUUAACAUUGACGAAAAAAAUGGAUGAAUUGGCUAUGAAUCUUAUGAAGGACAAGGAAAAGAGAUAUAAACCAAGCAAUAUGCAUCCCAAUUUCUGGUGGAGUAAUUGUAAGGGGCAAGGUCAUUUAGUAACAGAAUAUCCUUCACCACCUUAAAUGAUUGUAUAUUAUACCUUUUCUGAGGGCAAGCAUAUUACCACCAACUGUUGGAAUUUAUGGAAGCAACAACAACUCAGUAACUAGAUAAUGAUCCAACCGUGGAACGAUAACCAAAUUCAUGGGACGUUAAGCAAAUUCAAAUAGAAAAUAGGUUUGGCUAGAAUGAGAAUCGUUUUAACAAGCCGAAUAGAAAAAAUUUUAAAUUUUAAAAUUUGGUAUACAAUCAAGAAUACGGAACCAAUGCUCAAAGAAUGGUACAAAAUCAAUAAGGAUAUUUCCAAUAUCAAUCCUUUCAGCAAUCAAAUUCGGAUUCCAAAGUACCAACUGGACAACCGGGAUCAUUUUUCCAUUCAACCUAGAACAUGCUGAGCUGGUAUAUCCUGAUAGAUACUCCCAAUAUUCCUGUCGGUGUUUAAAGGAAACCACUUUGAUGUUAAUGUUGAAGACAAAUUGGACAUUAUGCUAGUGAAUGUCCUAAUCUAAAAGCAAGCAAUGACUAUGCUCCCUCGUGUGGAAAUUAUAAGCAAUCAGGACAUACUUAUCAGCAGUGUAAUUCUCCAUUUAAUUUCAAUAAUUAAAACCAACAUAUUCAAUUGCAGAGUAAACUAGAGGAGAAUAAUCGAGAUUUAUUGGUAAACUGGGUGGAAUGCGUACAUACCAUGCUUACAAGGGUCCAAAAAAAAGAAAAAGAUCCAAUUCGACAAUUGGAGGAACCAAUUUCUAAGAGACAAUAAGACUCAAAUCUAAUAACCAUACUUAGAUCGUCAUCAACAUUGAGACCUGAAUAAUCAGAACAGCCCAAUGAUGGUUCUGACACGAGACUAUUGAUCCAACAUGAACCAAUUCUAUUACCCCCAAAAGACAAGGAGCAGCCUUACUCACUGAAAGACCCUCUCAGGGUGAAACAAUAUGAAAUAGCUUGUUCAACUAUUCCGAUGUGUGACUCUAUAAAGCAAGAUAAGCUAUUGACAAGAGUUAAAGUGAAGCCUAUGAAAAAGAAAAGGGCUUUGGGAAUUACUACAAAUAUGGAACUGUAUGAUAUAUUGAAGGAUUUGGAUGAAAUCAAAUCGUCAAUCUCAAUGAAGCAACUAUUAGCGAUUAUGCCAGAAUGUCGUUCUAUGUUGAAUUCUUCAUUAAUACUACGAAGAACUUGGUCUAAAGAAGUUUGGGAAGUCAGCUUAAACCCCGAUCCAGGAGCAUCGAUUAUUGAUGUAUCUAUCAAUGGAGUCUUUAUUUCUAGAGUUCAAGUGGAUCCGGGCUCAAGUGUAAAUUUAAUGACGGUGGAAAUAAUAAAAAAUCUGAGUUUAAUUAAGUUGUUAUCCACAUUAUUUGUAUUAAGAAUGGCUGACUAUAAUCGAGUCAAGCCUAUGGAUAUUCUUUAUAGUAUUGACAUUGCUAUAGCAGAAAUUAUGUAUAAAAUUGAUUAUAUCAUUUUUACAUUAUAAAGUUCCACAUUAUCAUAUCUAAAUUUAUUGGGACGGCCAUGGUUAUACCAAGCUAAAGCUAAAAAUGAUUGGGGCCAUAGAACGUUAACUAUCAGAAAGGGAAGAAAAACGAUUGUUUUGCAAAUGCACCUAGUCCAAUAUCAUAGGGAAUUACAAGUUCUAGACUCGGAAGUGACAUCUGAUGAGGAGGAUCAAUCUAAGGAUAACUAUGAUGAAAUUACUAACUUAAUGCAAGUCGACAAUGAUCCAAAUUGCAUACGUAAGGAAGAAAUAUCCUACCAAUAUUGAGGACUUAAAGAAUAUUUUGUUCAUCAGGAGGAUGCAACUAACUCGGAUCAUACUAUUGCCCAAUGGAUGGACAAUCUUGCAAUCAAUAGAGUCAGCUGAUUGGAACAAGAAUGGGAUAGUUCUUAUAUGUCGGAUAAUAUAAGAUAUUUAGAUCAAGAGAAGAUAAUUAAAUCAGAGGUUGUAGAAGAUCCUGUGUGUCUAUCUAUUAACCUAGGCACCAACAAAAUGCCACAUCUAAUUAAAAUAUAUGCCAGUAUUAUAGUUACAGAAUUAGAUGCUUGAAAACAAUUUUUUGUCCAUCACAAAUUUGCCUUUGUGUGGUCGUAUGUGGAUUUGAAAGGGAUUCGAGUCGACGUGUGUGAGCACUAGAUUAUUUUGGAAGAGGGUGUUAUGCCAGUUUGUCAAAGACAACACCAACUUAACCCAAGAUAUUUUCUUUUAGUGAAAGAAGAAUUGGAUAAACUUCUCGACGUGGAUUUUAUUUAUCCUAUUCCGCAUAGUGCAUGGGUGUCACCAAUCGUGAUAGUACCAAAGAAAAAUGGGAAAAUCAAGAUGUGUCAAGAUUUUGGAAAGUUAAAUGCGGCUACUAAGAAGGAUUAUUUUUCGUUACCGUUUAUAGACAAUAUUUUAGACGCAAUGGCCAGAUAUGAAUGGUACUCAUUUUUGGACGGAUUUUUGGGAUAUAAUCAAAUUAAAAUUGCUUAAGAAGACCUGUUGAAGAUUACGUUUACCACAAAUUGGAGAACAUUUGCCUAUAAAGUAAUGCCAUUUGGAUUAUGUAAUGCCCUAGUUACUUUUCAACAAGUAAUGACACAAGCAUUUCAAGACUACCUAUGUUUAUCAAUGGAGAUAUUUCUAGACGAUUUUUGAUCCUUUAGCACAACGGCUAAACAACUAGCAUGUCUAGAUAACUGUUUGAAUCAAUGCGAUAAAUUUGGGAUAUCUCUAAAUUUGGAGAAGUGUCAAUUUGGCAUACCGUCCGGAAAGCUAUAGGGACACAUUGUCUCUAUUGAAGGUAUCGCUAUGGACCCCGAUAAAGUUAUUAGUAUAUUGGGUUAACCAAAGCCAGAUACGGUAUUAGGCAUACACAAUUUCAUCGGUCAUGUUAGCUACUAUCGGCAUUUUAUUGAAUCUUUUGCAAUUAUCUGUCAACCAUUAAUUAACUUGUUAAAGAAACCCCCACCAAACGGAUCUAGCUCAAUAUGGACUAAAGACUAUACUUUUGCAUUUGACAAAUUGAAACAAAAAUUAGUAUCUGUUCCAAUUCUUGUAACACGUUGUUGGACAAAAUCGUUUCAUGUCUAUAUGGAUGCGUCCAAGGUUGCUAUUGGAUCCAUUCACAGAUAAAAUGAUGAAAAAGAAUUAGAUCAUCUCAUAUAUUAUGCGAGCCAACAAUUCGUUGCUGCAGAAUGAAAUUAUAAUACUACCGAGCGAAAAGCCCUCGGAAUGAUCUACUCUGUACAAAAAAUCUGCCACUAUCUACUUGGAUACCCAUUUGUGUUCCACGUUGAUCAUGAUGCACUUAAAUACAUGAUAAAUAAACCUCAAUUGAGCAGAUGAUUUGCUUGACGGUGUUACUUCUGUAGGAAUUCAACUUUACGAUUAACGUUCGAUCCGGCAAAAAAUAUGCCAAUGAAGAUCAUUUAUCCCAUUUAUCUAAUAUAUGGGGUAAUGAGCCAAUAAACAAUGUUUUUUUGGACGCACAACUAUUUGCUGUGGAUGUCAUUACACACAAAUAUGGUGAAUCGAUCCAAUAUCUAAUGUUUUAGACUUUUGUAAUUUCUUAUAAUGAAAAAUUAAAGAAGCGUCAGAUUUUAAAAAGUGCGCCAUAUACCAUGAUUGCAGAUGCCUUGUACAAACAAGGGCGGGAUGGAAUUUUAUGCUGUUGCAUCUUUCAAAGUGAAGUUCGUACAAUUUUGGAAGGCUGUCAUUUGGACAGUUGUGGAGGACAUUUUGCGGGUGAUAGCACCACACGUAAGGCUUUAAUGGCUGGGUAUUGGUGGCCAACAAUGUUUUCGGAUGCACACCAAUAUGUUCGUCGUUGUGAUCCUUGUCAACGAAUUUGUUUGCCCUACUAUAACUUCUGCAAUGCCAUUGGUACCAAUUUUGGCACAAGCACCAUUUGAAAAAUGGGGUAUUGACUUUGUAGGACCCAUUGUACAUGCCUCUCAAAAUGGACAUAAACGUUAUAUUCUAAUAGCCACCAAUUAUGUCACCAAAUGGGCAAAGGCCAUGACAAGGAAAACUGAUAAUGCCAAUACAGUAGCAACAUUUUUAUAUGAGAACAUUAUCACUGAUUUUGGCUGUCUGAAAGAAUUGGUUAAUGAUCGCGGAAUACAUUUUAUUAAUACAAUAAUUGAAACAUUAAUAGCGAAGUAUGAGAUCAAACAUUCCAAAAUUACACCUUAUCAUCCACAAGCCAAUGGGUACAUAGAAAAGACCAAUGAUAUCCAAUUUAAGAUCUUAACAAAGACUAUUUCAAGAGCAAAAAACAAUUGGGAUACUAAAUUGUUUGCAACUUUAUGGGCAUACCGUAUUGCAUAUAAAGUAACUAUCAAUUCUACCCCAUUUCAAUUGAAAUACGAUCAGGAGGUAAUUCUACCAAUUGAAUUGGAGGUCCAAAGUUUACAAAUUGUAUUAGAUGAACGUAUGGGAGACAAAGAAUCUCUUCAAUAUAUGUUAGUCAAAUUGGAGAAAUUGGAUGAAGCUAGGGCUAUGGCUCUCUUGAUCAUGGAAGCUACACAACGUUGUAGAAAGAGUUAUUACAACAGUAUGUUACAGUCAAAAUAUUUUAUGCCCAAUGAUUUGGUGCUACUUUAUGAUAGCCGCUUUAACAACUUUUUCGAUAAAUUUCAAGUAUAAUUGCAUGGGCCAUAUUGGGUGGUGGAAGGUUUUGUUAAUGCUUCAAUUUAAUUGAAAGAUUUUCUGUGAAUCCACUUUACAACACGCAUUAACGAGAACUAGUUACGCAUGAAUGGGAAUCGAUAAGAUUGAAAAGGUUGUGAUAGUUAGGAAACGAUUGAUGGUUAGUUUUGGGUACUGAAAUUGACUAGUCAAGAAAUUAGACAUUCUUGUUAGACGUGAGAUUAAGAUAUUCUAGAUUAGAUAUUCUUGAUUUGAAUCCCGAGUAAGCAGUUAGGAGCGAGGCACUCAUAGAAGGUAUCAUUGUUGCAAAUUUUAGACAUUGUGCUUUGAAUUGUAAGCUUUACGACAGUAAUCAGCAAUAGUGUUAGCGUGAAGAAGUAUUGAGAGUUUGAUUUUCACAAUGUUGAUAGAAAGAGCAAAGAGAGUACCGAAAUGAUCAAAAAGUCACUGCAAUGUGAGGUCUAAGUGCGAUUUGGGAUCACGGUCUCUUGUAGUUAUCACCAACAUGUAACCGAUGAAGUUAGAUAUCUGUUGGUCAUUGAAAAGGCAAAAAGAUUUUAGAAAUACAUAGUUAUUUACGUUUUUACAAAGAUCGAAUAAACUACCACCAAUUAAUGUAAAACGAGUGGCGAAAUAUAUAGAGAAUUAUGAUCUAGAGGAUGGUUUGAGUGUGGUAAGAGGAGUCUUGAUUGGAAUAGAUGAGAAUAUCUUACACAAGGUCUUACAUUUACCAACCGGAGAGCUUGAUGUAGGAGGAGAUGCAUCAAAUGACUUCAGGCGAGGAAGCUACUUCAAAGGAGGAAUGUCGUCUCUCGAGUGAAAUCAAGGAUGGAAGGUACAGGAGGCACUUCUGUCCAAACUUAUGGAAUGGAUGCGGUUUGUUCAGAAGCAGUUAGCAUUGAAUUAGCAUACCACCUACAUGGUGAAGCGAUUAUUAUUUUUCAUGAUAGGAACACUGAAAGGCAUGGUAUUCAAUUGGGCAGCUUCUGUGGCCACAACGAUACAUGCAAAAAUGAGAGGUAAUGGGAAGACGGAGAAUUUUGCUUCACUAUUACGUUCAAAUUAUGUAAACUCAGUACUUGAGUAUACAUUGAAAUAAGAAUCUCAACCAAUUAGAGAUGACAAUAGAGAUGACGACACCAAUACCAAUUCCAAGGGAAAGCAACCAAUUAGGGUUUCCACAGGGUAUAACGGAAAGAUGAAAUCUUAAAAAAGUUAUAUUGAAUCAAAUUUCCUAGCUGCAACUUACGGUGAAUAAGCUCAAAGAUGAGGAUAGCUUAAAAAGGCAAGUAGAAGCGAGCAAGAAAAUAAUAUUGGAGCAAAAUUACAAAAUCAAGGAACAAGAACAAGUCAUCAAGGUAGAAUCAGAAUCCAAGAUGCGAGUGAAGCGUGAAUUGGAUAAGAGAGUGGAAAACUAGUCAAAGGAGAAACAAAGGAUUCAACAUAUCCUAAAAAAUCAAAGGCAAGAAUUACUACAAACUCGCAAAUCAUAUAAAUUGGAACAAGACAAGAUGAACGCUAAGUUGAAGAUGGAAUGAGAGAAGAAGGAGGCAUUGGAGCUUAAAAAGAAACAAUUGGGUGUCGAAUAUCGAAACAAAAUAGAUGAGCUACAGGCAAAAAUUAUUGUUUUGAAGGAAAUAGUAACAAAAUUGGAGAGUGAUUUGGUCAAAAUUGGUUAGCCACAGAUAUUUGCCUCAACGAGAAUAAAAAUUGAAAAAUUGGAGGAGAAAUUGCAAAAGCAACAACAAUAAUUGCAAGUUCAUGUUCGAGAAUUGGGAGCGUAUAAUGAAGAUUUAACAGCUCAAUUAAAGGUAGAGAUUUAGGAUGAGUCGUCGAAAGAAGAUAUAGUGUUGAAACAAGACCAAAUGGAGCCAACGCCAGGAAUUGAAAAGAUUAAACAAUCCACUUACAAAAAGAAGAAAAAAAAAAAAAAAAAAAAAAAAAUUGUUUAUCAAUAUUGUAUUUGCAUGGACCCUAUACAAUUAGAAGUCAGGCUAUAUAGAAUAAGUAGUUAUUUUUAGGAUGUAGAUACAUAAUGUAUAGUGUAAACAGGGUUAGAUAACUACUGAAAAGGUGGUUCAAUAGGUAGAAUGGAUGAAUAGUCAGGAAAAAUAGUUAUCAUCGGUAGUAUAGGAGUUGAUAUCUUGGGGUAGUAUAAGGAGGAUGGGAGAGAAGAUGAAAAUUCCAGAUUGUGAUAGUUAUUAGCCAAGAAUAAGCUUGGUGCUAUCUCUUCUUCUUAGUUUUCUUGUUUCUUUGGUGUUAGUGUUGAUUCUUGUGAAGAUAAUCGAUUUAAUGAAUCAAUGUUUGAUUUAGGAAGUUUUUUAUAGAAGUUUCCAGUCACUGUUUAUCGCAAGGUUGUAAGUUCAGUGGAGAGGAAUUAUAAUUGAAGGAAUUGUCUUCAUCAAAUUCAGUGGAUUAGAAGUUGUUCGUUCCAAGAUUUGGGUUAUGCUUGUGUGUUUGUAAAUUACACAGGGUAUUGAAAUUGAUGUCGAGGUUGUUAUCAUAUUAAUAUGAGAGAGUAAACAAUAGGAGGAAAAGUUAAGUGUUCUUCAACAUUGUAAGCAUUCAGUUGUAGCGGUUAAUUGUGUGACCCUAACAAUUGGAACUCAUAUACAUGGUCUUUUCCUGUGUUCAAAUUCCCCUAUAUGAAUUUAUUCUGGUAGGUUUCUUUCAAAAUAAGUAAAACGAUAAUCACAAAAACUCAUGCAUUUUAACAUAGAAGAGAGCAAAUCCAUUGAAACUCCAUUUGAUGUGAAUUCCAAGUUGUUGAAGCUUUUUGAGAAAAAGUAUGAAGAGAUUCAAGAAGAAAUGGAAGGCAUUCCAUACAAGACAACAAUAGAAUCAUUCAUGUAUGCAAUGGUGGAUAUAAGGGCAAAUCUUGCAUUUUUGAUGGAUGUGCUAAGCCAAUUCAUAUCUAGAGCAAGUCCCUUUCAUUGGAUGGUUGAAAUGCAUCAUGAAAUAUUUGAAGGAUACUUUAGACUUCAAUUUGUAUUUAGAGGCAAAGACAUCAUAUUGAAGGGUUUUAGUCAUGUGGAUAAAGUGGGGAGUAGAAUGAUCUCUCUCACUCCGAGCAUUGUAUGCAUACUCUAUCUAUUGCAUGUACUUAUGCAUCUUGUUUGUACUCCUAUUGUACUUCAACAACUUUUGCACCAAGAGGUAGGCUGCAACGCACUAACUACCAUGCAGUCAAAAAAUCUUCUUAGAUUUCACACGGAUAUGUCACAAAUCAAGCUAUUUCAAACAAUGAAGGCAAAUAUCUACAGUAUUAUGGAUGAAAACAUUUACAUCAACUGUAGAAGCACAAUAAUCACUUAUUAGUAGAUUAGUUUAGUAUGUCCAUACUUCAGCUACUAGAUACAUUUUUCUAAUACCCAUGGCAUGCAACGAAGUUAUGGAGUGUACCUUUACACCACUACACCACCUCUACACCACUAUAAAUAACUCACUUGGCAAGUGGGAUGCCAUGUAGGUUCGGUGGUUACCACCUUUCUGUGGUUGAAACCCUCGUUUACAAGCCACCACGAGCUCCUGUCUACCUCCUGGUAGGAAGGGGGCGUAUGCUUCGGAGGACUCUUACGUCCAAUGCGUUAUUGGACCAGUGAACUGUUAGUAGCUGCAGUGACAUAAACAUAUUGACGCACGUAUCGACGUCAUAUUCAGCAUAGUUUACAACAAGAAGUUCAUUACUGCGUUGGGUUUAUUACUUGCCAGAAUUUCAGAUUCGUUUUUCAACUUGCUUUGCAGUACGAGGUUCUGGACCCUUGUUUUCACAGAAUUAAGUCGACACCUUCUGGAACAUCCACUUUGUUUACUUCGUUUUGACAGACUUCCCAACAUUGACAAAUUGUAGAUGAAGUUAUCGACAUUAAAGUGUCGAAAAAUUAGUUCGACAUUGAUUUAGUCACUUGUGUGUCUAAACAAUUGUCGAAACCGAAGCAAGCGAAAUCCUUCCAAAUUUCUACAGUCAUAUGUCAGAGAAUUUCCCAAAAAAUAUAAUAAAAUGUCGGAAACCUGCCAAAAAAGGUGUCAAAAACAAACCCUCUUCGGUUGUUCUUCGGUUCUGCGUGGGCACAUCCCACUUUUCCAAUCUGAAGCACAAGCACGAGAGGUUUGUUUUAACGAAGCAAUUCCCUUGGUAAUGAUCAGAAUUGCGGAGUUUUCAGACUUCAUCCCCCCUGGAGCUAUUUUCUCAAAAGUUGCAUGAAACUUGAGAAGAUGGAGCACUAUAGGCGCCUUCAGCCAACAAUGCCGGAUGCGGCUCUACGUAGGAUUCUUGCAAAUAAGAUCUCAUUCCCACAUGAUAGGUCAUCCUUAUCUGCUUCAACAACAUAAUGCCAGAAUCACAGUAUCCCUCACAUCAGGUUCAACAGCUUUCGAAGUCCAUGUGUAAGUUCAUGUUAGUCAUUCUACGGAGACAUUUUAAUCUCUCCAAGCAAGUUUCUGCAUUUGGUCUUCUGGAAGCGUCAGUCUGCAAGCAAUCCCUUUGCAACUCUCGAACACCCGCUGACAA
rnacentral:lncRNA from 1 species